rnacentral:sRNA from 1 species
UUUCAUCUGUUGAAAGCACGAAAUGUGCAACUCCAUUUAGCUAUAAAAAGAUGAAAUAAUUUUCAAAAGUCAUCAACUCAUCCAACGCCUUCUAUCACAAUGAAAUUUAACAAAGUUUUCAUUAUUGCCGCUUCAAUGCUGUUGGCCAUUGUUUCGGUUGAAGCAAAACCGGAGCCAAAACCAGAACCAUUACCCGAGCCUAUAUUAACCAUCGUUACUGAUCUGCUUGGAGGACUUCUAGGAGGCAGAUGAAGACAUUAAAUCCAAAAAA